GACGAACGCUGGCGGCGUGCUUAACACAUGCAAGUCGAACGGAAAGGCCCUUCCUUUGUGGGGUGCUCGAGUGGCGAACGGGUGAGUAACACGUGGGUGACCUGCCCUUCACUUUGGGAUAAGUUCAGGAAACUGGGGCUAAUACCGGAUAGGACCUCCUUCUGCAUGGUGUGGUUUGGAGAGUUUCGGCGGUGGGGGAUGGCCUCGCGGCUUAUCAGCUUGUUGGUGGGGUAGUGGCUUACCAAGGCGUUGACGGGUAGCCGGCCUGAGAGGGUGAACGGCCACAUUGGGACUGAGAUACGGCCCAGACUCCUACGGGAGGCAGCAGUGGGGAAUAUUGCACAAUGGGCGCAAGCCUGAUGCAGCGACGCCGCGUGGGGGAUGACGGCCUUCGGGUUGUAAACUGCUUUCGCUAGGGACGAAGCGCAAGUGACGGUACCGGGUGAAGAAGCACCGGCUAACUACGUG
rnacentral:rRNA from 1 species